AGGUGCGUUUAAACUGAAUUGUU
rnacentral:siRNA from 1 species